rnacentral:lncRNA from 1 species
CUUAUUUCCAAACCAAAAUAUUGUAUUUUGUUAAAAUAAUCUCCAUGUUCACAUAGUCUUCUCCCCUCUGUGUCUGUGUGUCUAUGACCAAAUUUGGAUCAUUUUAUAAGAACAUCAGUCAUUGGAUUAGGGCCCCCUAAUCCAGUAUGACCUCAUUUUAACUUGAUUACAUCUGUAAAGACCCUAUUUCCAAAUAAUGCCACAUUCACAGGAACAAGGGUGUAGGACUCGAACAUAUGUAUUUUUAGGAACACAUCUCAAUCCAUAAUAGCACCCAUCCUUACCUUUUGUUUUUUUAACCUCCCCAUAACCUUCCUGUUUAAGGAUAUUCCUCUCAAAUUUGUCCUCUUCUUUCUUCUUAGUGACCUUAUUCCAAGGAUUAUUUUCCUCUCGUGUGUCUUCAACCUUUAUCUCUUUUCUGGCUGUUUCUCAGUGUUGGAGAGAGGGAAAUUUCCCCCUAUACCACUCUUGAGUUCUUAUGGCUGGACUAAUAAAAUUAAUACAAGAUCAGAUUAAUAGGAGAAAAAACAAUUUAAUAGUAUGUAUUGGAGAUCAUAAACCUGAUGCUUUCCAAGUGAACAAAGCAGGCAGUUUAUAUAUCUUUUCACACAAAGAAACAAUAAAUUUGUAAAGAAAUGACAGGACAAAGAAACUUAGGUUUGGGAUAUGUAAUUAGGAAUUUAAAAGACUUGAGGCAGUAAAUUAGGAAAAGUAACAAAGUUUGUUUAUACAGGCCUCUCAGCCCUGAAUUCCCUGGCUCUGGUGAUAAGCAUGCCUCUGUCUCCUGGUGUGGAAGGGCACCGUUCACAUGAGGACGUAUUUCCUGCUUUCAGGGGGAACAGAGAGUCAACAUCUAUUAGAUGAGAAAAUGAGUCAGUACAGUAAUGAUGACUGAAAGUACUCCUCUUCAUCAAGUCAAAGGAAGACACCCUGUGAGACUGGCCUAUCGUUCAGCAGUGCUCUGAGGUUUCCUUCCUAGUUUCAGGUAGGGUAUGGUUUUUAUGUGGCCUGUAUUUCUGAAAUUGGGCAGUUUGUUCCAGGUGAAGCUUUUAUGGCUCUGGUUUCCUGGGAAAUACUGCUGUGCUUGCAGAUCAUUCAUUCACUGAUAAACUGAAUUGACUUUCCCAUGUAUUUAACUCAGUUUUUCAUUGUGAUGUAGUGAGCAAGUGCUGGGUUUGGAGUCAGAAGACUGGGUUUAAGUAUUGGCUCUGCCACUUAGCUUAUGUGUGACUUUAGGCCAAUCCUUUAACCUCUCUGAACUUUAAUUACCUUAUCUGCAAUUGAAAAAACUCCUGCUAUGCCUACUUCAUAGGAUUGUUGCAAAAGAUAGAUUAGAUAACAUGUGAAAACUCCCAUGUGAUUUAUAAAGCACCAUCCACUGUAAGG